rnacentral:rRNA from 1 species
CAAAUUGAGAGUUUGAUCCUGGCUCAGGAUGAACGCUGGCGGCGUGCCUAAUACAUGCAAGUCGAACGCUUUGUGGUUCAACUGAUUUGAAGAGCUUGCUCAGAUAUGACGAUGAACAUUGCAAAGAGUGGCGAACGGGUGAGUAACACGUGGGAAACCUACCUCUUAGCAGGGGAUAACAUUUGGAAACAGAUGCUAAUACCGUAUAACAAUGACAACCGCAUGGUUGUUAUUUAAAAGAUGGUUCUGCUAUCACUAAGAGAUGGUCCCGCGGUGCAUUAGCUAGUUGGUAAGGUAAUGGCUUACCAAGGCGAUGAUGCAUAGCCGAGUUGAGAGACUGAUCGGCCACAAUGGGACUGAGACACGGCCCAUACUCCUACGGGAGGCAGCAGUAGGGAAUCUUCCACAAUGGGCGAAAGCCUGAUGGAGCAACGCCGCGUGUGUGAUGAAGGGUUUCGGCUCGUAAAACACUGUUGUAAGAGAAGAAUGACAUUGAGAGUAACUGUUCAAUGUGUGACGGUAUCUUACCAGAAAGGAACGGCUAAAUACGUGCCAGCAGCCGCGGUAAUACGUAUGUUCCAAGCGUUAUCCGGAUUUAUUGGGCGUAAAGCGAGCGCAGACGGUUAUUUAAGUCUGAAGUGAAAGCCCUCAGCUCAACUGAGGAAUUGCUUUGGAAACUGGAUGACUUGAGUGCAGUAGAGGAAAGUGGAACUCCAUGUGUAGCGGUGAAAUGCGUAGAUAUAUGGAAGAACACCAGUGGCGAAGGCGGCUUUCUGGACUGUAACUGACGUUGAGGCUCGAAAGUGUGGGUAGCAAACAGGAUUAGAUACCCUGGUAGUCCACACCGUAAACGAUGAGUGCUAGGUGUUUGAGGGUUUCCGCCCUUAAGUGCCGCAGCUAACGCAUUAAGCACUCCGCCUGGGGAGUACGACCGCAAGGUUGAAACUCAAAGGAAUUGACGGGGACCCGCACAAGCGGUGGAGCAUGUGGUUUAAUUCGAAGCAACGCGAAGAACCUUACCAGGUCUUGACAUCCCUUGACAACUCCAGAGAUGGAGCGUUCCCUUCGGGGACAAGGUGACAGGUGGUGCAUGGUUGUCGUCAGCUCGUGUCGUGAGAUGUUGGGUUAAGUCCCGCAACGAGCGCAACCCUUAUUACUAGUUGCCAGCAUUCAGUUGGGCACUCUAGUGAGACUGCCGGUGACAAACCGGAGGAAGGUGGGGAUGACGUCAAAUCAUCAUGCCCCUUAUGACCUGGGCUACACACGUGCUACAAUGGCGUAUACAACGAGUUGCCAACCCGCGAGGGUGAGCUAAUCUCUUAAAGUACGUCUCAGUUCGGAUUGUAGGCUGCAACUCGCCUACAUGAAGUCGGAAUCGCUAGUAAUCGCGGAUCAGCACGCCGCGGUGAAUACGUUCCCGGGUCUUGUACACACCGCCCGUCACACCAUGAGAGUUUGUAACACCCAAAGCCGGUGGGGUAACCUUCGGGAGCCAGCCGUCUAAGGUGGGACAGAUGAUUAGGGUGAAGUCGUAACAAGGUAGCCGUAGGAGAACCUGCGGCUGGAUCACCUCCUUUCUAAGGAA